AGUUGGUGGAGUGAUUUGUCUGGUUAAUUCCGUUAACGAACGAGACCUCGACCUGCUAAAUAGUUCGGCGAACGCUUUGUGUUCGUACGUGACUUCUUAGAGGGACUAUCGGUGUGUAGCCGAUGGAAGUUCGAGGCAAUAACAGGU
rnacentral:rRNA from 1 species